GAUGAACGCUGGCGGCGUGCCUAAUACAUGCAAGUCGAGCGAACGGACGAGAAGCUUGCUUCUCUGAUGUUAGCGGCGGACGGGUGAGUAACACGUGGAUAACCUACCUAUAAGACUGGGAUAACUUCGGGAAACCGGAGCUAAUACCGGAUAAUAUUUUGAACCGCAUGGUUCAAAAGUGAAAGACGGUCUUGCUGUCACUUAUAGAUGGAUCCGCGCUGCAUUAGCUGGUUGGUAAGGUAACGGCUUACCAAGGCAACGAUGCAUAGCCGACCUGAGAGGGUGAUCGGCCACACUGGAACUGAGACACGGUCCAGACUCCUACGGGAGGCAGCAGUAGGGAAUCUUCCGCAAUGGGCGAAAGCCUGACGGAGCAACGCCGCGUGAGUGAUGAAGGUCUUCGGAUCGUAAAACUCUGUUAUUAGGGAAGAACAUAUGUGUAAGUAACUGUGCACAUCUUGACGGUACCUAAUCAGAAAGCCACGGCUAACUACGUGCCAGCAGCCGCGGUAAUACGUAGGUGGCAAGCGUUAUCCGGAAUUAUUGGGCGUAAAGCGCGCGUAGGCGGUUUUUUAAGUCUGAUGUGAAAGCCCACGGCUCAACCGUGGAGGGUCAUUGGAAACUGGAAAACUUGAGUGCAGAAGAGGAAAGUGGAAUUCCAUGUGUAGCGGUGAAAUGCGCAGAGAUAUGGAGGAACACCAGUGGCGAAGGCGACUUUCUGGUCUGUAACUGACGCUGAUGUGCGAAAGCGUGGGGAUCAAACAGGAUUAGAUACCCUGGUAGUCCACGCCGUAAACGAUGAGUGCUAAGUGUUAGGGGGUUUCCGCCCCUUAGUGCUGCAGCUAACGCAUUAAGCACUCCGCCUGGGGAGUACGACCGCAAGGUUGAAACUCAAAGGAAUUGACGGGGACCCGCACAAGCGGUGGAGCAUGUGGUUUAAUUCGAAGCAACGCGAAGAACCUUACCAAAUCUUGACAUCCUUUGACAACUCUAGAGAUAGAGCUUUCCCCUUCGGGGGACAAAGUGACAGGUGGUGCAUGGUUGUCGUCAGCUCGUGUCGUGAGAUGUUGGGUUAAGUCCCGCAACGAGCGCAACCCUUAAGCUUAGUUGCCAUCAUUAAGUUGGGCACUCUAAGUUGACUGCCGGUGACAAACCGGAGGAAGGUGGGGAUGACGUCAAAUCAUCAUGCCCCUUAUGAUUUGGGCUACACACGUGCUACAAUGGACAAUACAAAGGGCAGCGAAACCGCGAGGUCAAGCAAAUCCCAUAAAGUUGUUCUCAGUUCGGAUUGUAGUCUGCAACUCGACUACAUGAAGCUGGAAUCGCUAGUAAUCGUAGAUCAGCAUGCUACGGUGAAUACGUUCCCGGGUCU
rnacentral:rRNA from 1 species